rnacentral:snRNA from 1 species
GUGCUUACAUCAGCAGCACUUGUACUACAUUUGGAAUGACACAGUGAUGAGUAGCCUUUGUGCAAGAAUGGCAUGCAAAUUUGUGAAGCAUUCUAUUAGAUA